GACGAACCGUGCAAACGUUAUUCGGAAUCACUGGGCUUAAAGGGCGCGUAGGCGGGCCGCCCGGUCCGGGGUGAAAUCCUCCAGCUCAACUGGAGAAGUGCCUUGGAUACCGGCGGCCUCGAGGGAGGCAGGGGCGUGCGGAACUUCCGGUGGAGCGGUGAAAUGCGUAGAUAUCGGAAGGAACACCGGUGGCGAAAGCGGCGCGCUGGACCUCUUCUGACGCUGAGGCGCGAAAGCCAGGGGAGCAAACGGG
rnacentral:rRNA from 1 species